rnacentral:rRNA from 1 species
UACAGAGGUCUCAAGCGUUGUUCGGAUUCAUUGGGCGUAAAGGGUGUGUAGGUGGCGCGCUAAGUCGGGUGUGAAAUUUCGGAGCUUAACUCCGAAACUGCAUUCGAUACUGGCGUGCUUGAGGACUGGAGAGGAGACUGGAAUUCAUGGUGUAGCAGUGAAAUGCGUAGAGAUCAUGAGGAAGACCAGUGGCGAAGGCGGGGUCUCUGGGAAGAUACUGACGCUGGAGGUGCGAAAGCGUGGGGAGCAAACAGG